GGUCCUGUAGCUCAGUUGGUUAGAGCGUGGCUAUUAUGAGUUGAAGGUCGCGGGUUCGAAUCUCGUCGGGACCA
rnacentral:tRNA from 1 species